GACGAACGCUGGCGGCGUGCCUAAUACAUGCAAGUAGAACGCUGAAAAGAGGAGCUUGCUCUUCUUGGAUGAGUUGCGAACGGGUGAGUAACGCGUAGGUAACCUGCCUUGUAGCGGGGGAUAACUAUUGGAAACGAUAGCUAAUACCGCAUAACAAUGGAUGACCCAUGUCAUUUAUUUGAAAGGGGCAAAUGCUCCACUACAAGAUGGACCUGCGUUGUAUUAGCUAGUAGGUGAGGUAACGGCUCACCUAGGCGACGAUACAUAGCCGACCUGAGAGGGUGAUCGGCCACACUGGGACUGAGACACGGCCCAGACUCCUACGGGAGGCAGCAGUAGGGAAUCUUCGGCAAUGGGGGCAACCCUGACCGAGCAACGCCGCGUGAGUGAAGAAGGUUUUCGGAUCGUAAAGCUCUGUUGUAAGUCAAGAACGAGUGUGAGAGUGGAAAGUUCACACUGUGACGGUAGCUUACCAGAAAGGGACGGCUAACUACGUGCCAGCAGCCGCGGUAAUACGUAGGUCCCGAGCGUUGUCCGGAUUUAUUGGGCGUAAAGCGAGCGCAGGCGGUUUGAUAAGUCUGAAGUUAAAGGCUGUGGCUCAACCAUAGUUCGCUUUGGAAACUGUCAAACUUGAGUGCAGAAGGGGAGAGUGGAAUUCCAUGUGUAGCGGUGAAAUGCGUAGAUAUAUGGAGGAACACCGGUGGCGAAAGCGGCUCUCUGGUCUGUAACUGACGCUGAGGCUCGAAAGCGUGGGGAGCGAACAGGAUUAGAUACCCUGGUAGUCCACGCCGUAAACGAUGAGUGCUAGGUGUUGGAUCCUUUCCGGGAUUCAGUGCCGCAGCUAACGCAUUAAGCACUCCGCCUGGGGAGUACGACCGCAAGGUUGAAACUCAAAGGAAUUGACGGGGGCCCGCACAAGCGGUGGAGCAUGUGGUUUAAUUCGAAGCAACGCGAAGAACCUUACCAGGUCUUGACAUCCCGAUGCUAUUUCUAGAGAUAGAAAGUUACUUCGGUACAUCGGUGACAGGUGGUGCAUGGUUGUCGUCAGCUCGUGUCGUGAGAUGUUGGGUUAAGUCCCGCAACGAGCGCAACCCCUAUUGUUAGUUGCCAUCAUUCAGUUGGGCACUCUAGCGAGACUGCCGGUAAUAAACCGGAGGAAGGUGGGGAUGACGUCAAAUCAUCAUGCCCCUUAUGACCUGGGCUACACACGUGCUACAAUGGUUGGUACAACGAGUUGCGAGUCGGUGACGGCAAGCUAAUCUCUUAAAGCCAAUCUCAGUUCGGAUUGUGGGCUGCAACUCGCCUACAUGAAGUCGGAAUCGCUAGUAAUCGCGGAUCAGCACGCCGCGGUGAAUACGUUCCCGGGCCU
rnacentral:rRNA from 1 species